rnacentral:rRNA from 1 species
UACGAAGGGGGCUAGCGUUGCUCGGAAUCACUGGGCGUAAAGGGCGCGUAGGCGGCCAUUCAAGUCAGAGGUGAAAGCCCAAGGCUCAACCUUGGAACUGCCUUUGAUACUGUUUGGCUUGAGACCGGUAGAGGUAAGUGGAACUGCGAGUGUAGAGGUGAAAUUCGUAGAUAUUCGCAAGAACACCAGUGGCGAAGGCGGCUCACUGGCCCGGGUACUGACGCUGAGGUGCGAAAGCGUGGGGAGCAAACAGG